rnacentral:rRNA from 1 species
UACAGAGGGGGCAAGCGUUAUUCGGAAUUACUGGGCGUAAAGGGCUCGUAGGCGGCCAACUAAGUCAGACGUGAAAUCCCUCAGCUUAACUGGGGAACUGCGUCUGAUACUGGAUGGCUUGGAUUUGGGAGAGGGAUGCGGAAUUCCAGGUGUAGCGGUGAAAUGCGUAGAUAUCUGGAGGAACACCGGUGGCGAAGGCGGCAUCCUGGACCAAUAUUGACGCUGAGGAGCGAAAGCCAGGGGAGCAAACGGG